GCCGUAGCGGGAACCGCUGGUGUGCACGUGGGUGUGCAAGUAUCUGCCGAGUCCCUGCUGGCGUUCUUUCGGACCCACGCCUGUCAGCGGAGCUGCGGGCUCACGUCCAUCUGAGGUCGUGAAGGACGUACUGGUUGCGAGGGAAGGAGAAAGGGGGGACGGAAACGAGGUCUUGUUACCGAGAGUCGCUGAAGGCAGCCUUUGGUUUCGGGAUUGCUCCCCCUCUGCUCACACACGCCUCGGGGCACACACGUGCUCCCACACAUGCGCACACACACGCACACCUACACAUCACACACGCACACUCACAUACACGCACGCUCAAUACUCGCACGUACACGCGCACACACGUGCACACGAUGCACCCACACCACACACGUACACGUGCUUACGCGUCACACUUACACUCGCUCACAUGCACGUAUACACGCACACGCUCGUGCUCACACAUACAUGCCCUUACGCGUCACACUGACACACACACACACACACACACACACACACCUGCACUAACACACACACAGCCCCUGUGAAUGUGCUGGAGCCUGACUGUGAACCAACCGACUGUAAGGGGAAAAUGCCCGUGACCAGAAUGUCAGCAACAACCUCACAAACAGUCACGGGUGACCCCUGCUGGUGCUGCCGCCUGGGACCCAAGGGGACCUGAGGCACAAGCCAGGCUGUGAGGACACUGGGGUGGAGGGAUUGACGGUGUCUGGACCUUGCCAACUUCUCCGUGACUGCGCUGUCCUCGAUCCCCGUGACCCCGCUCCGUGAUCCUUGUGACCUCUAUGUCCACGACCCCUGUGACCUCACCGUCCCGAUCUUGGCCGCAGGAGGGGAGCCCCACGAACUGCUGUGGUUGAUCCUCAAACUAAGGAUGAAAUACUGAGGGCCGCUGGACACGUGGACGCCCUCACCAGGCCCAGGCUCCUGCCUGCCCCUCCGUCCACGCCCGGGCCCCCCUGCCCCGCCCCCAUUCACACCCUCACCAGGCUGGCACAUUCCGGCACUGCCCUCAGGACGCUGCUCCAGCGGCAAGAAAGGCCAAGAAUCACUCCCAUCAGGCCCUUCAUGCCCAAAGGCUUCUGGAACGCCGUGUCCCUCACUCCCCACGUGGUGGGGACUCCCUGCGCCCUGGCCUGAGUCAGAAGCCACCAUCGUGGAUCCGUAAAGGAGACCGGAUGUCCCCCCUUCACAGAGGCACCUGCCGCCUCCAGCAGGGACACGACCCGGCAGAGAGAGGGGCCCGGGCUGCAGUGACGUCCCGCCUGCUUGGAAACAUGACCCCAGUCUCUCAGGGAAGCACAGGACUGCUUCCACUUCAGCAAAGGGAACGCGAGGUGCGGAGCAAGACGGAACGAGAGGGGCAACGGGUCAGACGCUAGCGGCGAGUCGGGGGCGCCCGGCGGCCGUCCACGCUGCCCUAUCUUGCAGGUACGAAAAUUCCCCCCGGGCACGAAGGUUUUGUUGACCACAGAAGCUCGGUUGCACUGCAGUAUCUCCGUGACCUCGUUCUAAUCGUUCUAAUGAAGGUGACUUCCAAAGGAAACCCCCCUCCUCUGUCACCCCCGGAGCCCCUGCCUCCGCGCCUGCCACAGACAGCUUCUAACGCCGCGCCGGCAUUAGAAAAGCUCGGGGGAGGGGGGUUUCCAGAACCUUGUCUUCCCACUUCCCAUUUCUCGAGUCAUUUGAACUAUCACAUAUGUAAAGAAAAAUGUCACGGGCGGGGAAAACACAAGCUCUUGGGGCCUGGAGGAGGGAAAGCCCAGUCCCCGGAGUUGAGCCCCCCUCUUGGCACUUGGUCCUGGGAUGGAGGGGCUGGUGGUCAGAGGUACGUCCCAUGUCAUUAUGGGGACCGUGCCCGGUGGCCCCGAGGAAGCACCAGGGCUCCGGAAAGUGGUCUGCAGGCCACGUGGCCUGUGCUGCCUCCUCACUGCUUGAGAGCUGCUCGCCAGUACAGGGCCACCUGCUCAGGGGUCCCCCCACCACAGGGAGUUUGGGGCCACUGGCGUGGACCCUCUAGGGGAGAUGCCUGCACCCCUUUUCCCACAAGUAGAGGGGCCGGCAGGAUACAGGGACUCAGAACCCCAGACAGAGGGGCCCGGUCCCAGCCCCUGCCCUCUCUGGCCCCGUCCCCUCCCUGCCAGCCUGCUGGCUCCCGCCCACACCAGUGAGGGCUUGUACCCCGAGGGCUUGUGCUGGUGCGCACGGCCGGCCCGUGGGUCCCCAGCACAGGACCGCAGGCCGCCUGCCCGGGGCCCCUCCAGGCUCCGGACGGCGCGUGCAGGCGGGAAAGCCGCUGGGGUCACUGGCAGCGAAAGCGCCAGCUCCGGCUUUGUCACGUUUCCCCGGUCGUGAGUUUGAAGCAACGAUAGCCAAGCACGCAGACCUGGGCCAUGUGGGUUUUUAACGGGCCCAGAAGGAGGCCCUUCCGAGUAGGACUGCGGGCCUCGCAGGAGUGGGUGCCAGGUGCAGAGGAGAGUCAGGUGCUGGCCCCAGGGACAUCCCAGGCAGGGAUGCAGGCAAGACAGAGAGAGAAGCCACCAGAAAACAAAGCAGACAACAGGGACUGUCAAGGACUCUGAGGGGAUACAGGCAUGUUUGAGGGAAACGGUAUUCGCUGAACCCCCGCAUGGCCGGCAGUAAGAGGUACACCUCCUGUCACCUCCUGUCACCUCGGUGUCACGGUGUCCCCUGGUGUCCAACACCCAGGACUCGACAGGCCUCACAGCCGACGCAGCAGAGUCGGAAUUAAAAUCCGGGACCGUCUGACUCCAAAACGCA